rnacentral:rRNA from 1 species
GGUUCUGUAGGUGAACCUGCGGAUGGAUCAUUA